AUUCCUUGUCGGGUAAGUUCCGACCCGCACGAAAGGUGUAACGAUUUGGGCACUGUCUCAACCAGAGACUCGGUGAAAUUAUAGUACCUGUGAAGAUGCAGGUUACCCGCGACAGGACGGAAAGACCCCGUGGAGCUUUACUGUAGCCUGAUAUUGAAUUUUGGUACAGUUUGUACAGGAUAGGCGGGAGCCAUUGAAACCGGAGCGCUAGCUUCGGUGGAGGCGCUGGUGGGAUACCGCCCUGACUGUAUUGAAAUUCUAACCUACGGGUCUUAUCGACCCGGGAGACAGUGUCAGGUGGGCAGUUUGACUGGGGCGGUCGCCUCCUAAAGUGUAACGGAGGCGCCCAAAGGUUCCCUCAGAAUGGUUGGAAAUCAUUCGUAGAGUGCAAAGGCAUAAGGGAGCUUGACUGCGAGACCUACAAGUCGAGCAGGGACGAAAGUCGGGCUUAGUGAUCCGGUGGUUCCGCAUGGAAGGGCCAUCGCUCAACGGAUAAAAGCUACCCCGGGGAUAACAGGCUUAUCUCCCCCAAGAGUCCACAUCGACGGGGAGGUUUGGCACCUCGAUGUCGGCUCAUCGCAUCCUGGGGCUGUAGUCGGUCCCAAGGGUUGGGCUGUUCGCCCAUUAAAGCGGUACGCGAGCUGGGUUCAGAACGUCGUGAGACAGUUACAGUUCGGUCCCUAUCCGUCGUGGGCGUAGGAAAUUUGAGAGGAGCUGUCCUUAGUACGAGAGGACCGGGAUGGACGCACCGCUGGUGUACCAGUUGUUCUGCCAAGGGCAUAGCUGGGUAGCUAUGUGCGGAAGGGAUAAGUGCUGAAAGCAUCUAAGCAUGAAGCCCCCCUCAAGAUGAGAUUUCCCAUAGCGUAAGCUAGUAAGAUCCCUGAAAGAUGAUCAGGUUGAUAGGUUCGAGGUGGAAGCAUGGUGACAUGUGGAGCUGACGAAUACUAAUAGAUCGAGGACUUAAC
rnacentral:rRNA from 1 species